rfam:Paenibacillus sp. JCM 10914 DNA, contig: contig_2.
UUAUCUAUGUGUUACUGGCGUAGCUUGGGUCACCAAGAGGGAGCACAUAGGAUCAUAUGCCGUACGCCUGGGCAAGAGGU